rnacentral:lncRNA from 1 species
CCCUUGGGGUCCCCCUAAAGUAAGUUUCCCUGUAGGAAACUUUAGGCUACAAGAAGUUUUGGCAUUUGAGAUGCCAAUAUUGGCUUCGCCAGGCCAUCGAGAUUCAAAUAUUUUCUUUUUGAAUCUCGUGCAAACUCGGACCCUAAUUAAGGUAAAGGCCUUACUCUAUUCCUGUCGGAAUAGCGGCCUUGGAAGAGGGAUACCUUUUUGGUUUUAAGCCUGGGUGGGUUCCCCUCCGUGGUACCAGAUACUCGGGUCCCACUCCGGCCCCGCUUCGCUCUUUUCUUUAUCUCAGGUGUUCCAAUUCGGAAAAUUGCAUAAGUGAUCACUGAACCUUCGUUUGGCCUGUUUGGGUGACUCGUUAAUGAUGUGGCAUCUGUCCAAUCACGUGAGUUUAUUCACGGACAAUAGCUCUCGAGGAGCAUUGGUUCGCAGACAAGUGAAGACAGGACGGCAGUGGUCGAGGAUAAAUCACUACUCUGUGAAGUCCUCGAUGAGUAUAAAAGGGGUGGAAACUCCUCUCAUCAGCCAAGGUUGACCGACGGUGGCUCCAUACCAGGGAAUCGAGGGAUUCUUAAGGAGGGAAAGCUGACCAGAAUUCGUGUUGUGUUGAUUUAUAGAUUGGUUGGGAAACGGAUUGGAAAAAAGGAAAGGAACGCAAAAACGCGCUUUUUUUGGAAAUGGUAGCUGACGCACUUUAUUUCUCGGCGGGAAAGGGAUUCCCCCUCUCCCCCGAGCCCCCUCACCCCCUUUUAAGGUGAAGGCCUUACUCAAUUCCUAUCGGAAUUGCGGCCUUCCUCGGAGAAGAAAGAGAUUUAUAUAAAGCUACCGGGGGGCCUUCCCCCGGACCCCCUUCUCUGGCUGGAACCUGGAAAGCUAUACUUUCCGGUUCUGGUUCCGGAAAUGAGCUCCCUCAUUUCCUCUUUUUCGUCCAAUCCUAUUCCUAUUCUCUUACUUCCCAUAUAAAUAUAAAUCUGAUGCUUCACCACAAUUCUGAUUAUGAUGGCUCCCCCUUAAUAAUCCCCCUGGGUGGUGAAUCAGAGAGAUACCGGCCCUCGCCCCUCCUUUGUUAGAGUUUGUUAAGGAGGGGCAAUGGAUUACUUGCGUUAAAACACCUAUUAAAACACAAAAGCCUCCAGAGGCCCUUCUUUUGCGUUUUAACGCAAGUGUCUCCCUUCUUUAAAGGGUCCCCCCUUGGGGUCCCCCUAAAGUAAGUUUCCCUGUAGGAAACUUUAGGCUACAAGAAGUUUUGGCAUUUGAGAUGCCAAUAUUGGCUUCGCCAGGCCAUCGAGAUUCAAAUAUUUUCUUUUUGAAUCUCGUGCAAACUCGGACCCUAAUUAAGGUAAAGGCCUUACUCUAUUCCUGUCGGAAUAGCGGCCUUGGAAGAGGGAUACCUUUUUGGUUUUAAGCCUGGGUGGGUUCCCCUCCGUGGUACCAGAUACUCGGGUCCCACUCCGGCCCCGCUUCGCUCUUUUCUUUAUCUCAGGUGUUCCAAUUCGGAAAAUUGCAUAAGUGAUCACUGAACCUUCGUUUGGCCUGUUUGGGUGACUCGUUAAUGAUGUGGCAUCUGUCCAAUCACGUGAGUUUAUUCACGGACAAUAGCUCUCGAGGAGCAUUGGUUCGCAGACAAGUGAAGACAGGACGGCAGUGGUCGAGGAUAAAUCACUACUCUGUGAAGUCCUCGAUGAGUAUAAAAGGGGUGGAAACUCCUCUCAUCAGCCAAGGUUGACCGACGGUGGCUCCAUACCAGGGAAUCGAGGGAUUCUUAAGGAGGGAAAGCUGACCAGAAUUCGUGUUGUGUUGAUUUAUAGAUUGGUUGGGAAACGGAUUGGAAAAAAGGAAAGGAACGCAAAAACGCGCUUUUUUUGGAAAUGGUAGCUGACGCACUUUAUUUCUCGGCGGGAAAGGGAUUCCCCCUCUCCCCCGAGCCCCCUCACCCCCUUUUAAGGUGAAGGCCUUACUCAAUUCCUAUCGGAAUUGCGGCCUUCCUCGGAGAAGAAAGAGAUUUAUAUAAAGCUACCGGGGGGCCUUCCCCCGGACCCCCUUCUCUGGCUGGAACCUGGAAAGCUAUACUUUCCGGUUCUGGUUCCGGAAAUGAGCUCCCUCAUUUCCUCUUUUUCGUCCAAUCCUAUUCCUAUUCUCUUACUUCCCAUAUAAAUAUAAAUCUGAUGCUUCACCACAAUUCUGAUUAUGAUGGCUCCCCCUUAAUAAUCCCCCUGGGUGGUGAAUCAGAGAGAUACCGGCCCUCGCCCCUCCUUUGUUAGAGUUUGUUAAGGAGGGGCAAUGGAUUACUUGCGUUAAAACACCUAUUAAAACACAAAAGCCUCCAGAGGCCCUUCUUUUGCGUUUUAACGCAAGUGUCUCCCUUCUUUAAAGGGUCCCCCCUUGGGGUCCCCCUAAAGUAAGUUUCCCUGUAGGAAACUUUAGGCUACAAGAAGUUUUGGCAUUUGAGAUGCCAAUAUUGGCUUCGCCAGGCCAUCGAGAUUCAAAUAUUUUCUUUUUGAAUCUCGUGCAAACUCGGACCCUAAUUAAGGUAAAGGCCUUACUCUAUUCCUGUCGGAAUAGCGGCCUUGGAAGAGGGAUACCUUUUUGGUUUUAAGCCUGGGUGGGUUCCCCUCCGUGGUACCAGAUACUCGGGUCCCACUCCGGCCCCGCUUCGCUCUUUUCUUUAUCUCAGGUGUUCCAAUUCGGAAAAUUGCAUAAGUGAUCA